GCUGAUUUCCAAAUAUCUAAGAUAUUUGAAGCUUUCUCUGCCAUAUCUAAAAUAAAAAUCGACCAUCUGUAUUCCAUUAUCACCACAAAAAUGCAGUGAACGAUCUCUCUAGAAUAUAGACAUUGCUACAGUAGAAACGUUUAAAAACGAAUGAUUUGCUUUAGCUUAGUUAAAGAAAAUAAUUUUUUUUUUUUUUUAAUCCUUAUAUGGUACAACCAUGUGUAAAAUUGAAACUUUUUUAAACUAUUAAAUUGUAAAUAAAGCUCUCUUCUACUUAAAGUCGGCUACUUGUUCCAUCAAUCGUCCUCAACAAGCUGCAUAGGUAAUUCUCUUCCUAAUCUGUUUUCAACUUUUUUUGGAAAGACGCUUAUUCUACUGAUUAAAAAAGGCUUACUGUUGUGAUUUUUGUGUGUAUUUUGGCUGAUUUGUUGGUCAGAGUUUCCAUUAGAAUCCUUCUUAAGUAUUUGGGAUGUUGGGAUCUUUCGUUUUGAUGAUAUGUUGGAUUAUAUUAUGAUUCAGUUUCUGCUAUAACUUGAUUUGAAUGUUGUAUCUGGUCCAAUAGAAGGCUGUUGAUGGUAUAGAAGAGGUCCACAACAUCUUGCAGAGCCAAAAAUAAGUAAAUAAUGUGAUGAACAUGUAGUUUGUUUGCUGGAGAGCUGAACAAAUCCGAACUUGUGAGCUAAAUCAAGCCACGGACAUUUGUAUGGCUAUAAAUUAUCAAAUUAAUGGUAAAAUAGUAAAUCUAAAGUUAAUUUGUUUUGAAUAAUUGUGGUUUAUCAGCUAUUGCACAGGAACGGGUUUUACCCCGUGCGCUACCCAAGGGUAGUGGCUGAGGGUUCCCUCCAAUAAAAGAAAAAAAAAGUACAGUGUCCUACUGGUGAGGUAUUGGUCUGGGUUUCCAUUAUGAAUCCAUCUGAAGGAGCUAAGAGAAUCUUGUUUAUUCUCUUUCGUUAUGUAAAUUUAGGUAGUUGUGUGUCUUUAUUAUUAUGAAGCAGGAGUUAUCCAUCUCUGUUGGGAUAAAAUUGCUUCAUAAAGCUUGUCCAUAUUGCAAAAUGAUUUUAUCUGAGUCUUCAAAUCUAUACUCAACAGAGAGCAAGAGCCUGUUUACUCUAUUUUAAAAAAAAAUAAAAAAAAAUGAAAGACUUUACUGGCAAUGACGUAUUUAUUAUAUAUAUAUAUAUAUAAUUUUUUUAUUUUUACUAUAUAGAAAUGUGAAGAAAGGAACGACCAAGGGCAAUAUAGUAAAUUCGCAUCUAACAAAUAUCCUACCUCUCUGGCUAUGGAACCAUCCAUCUUUCUCAUUCUCGGUCCACACAAACAAUGGAUAUCCUAUUUUACUUUUCUCCAUACAUCUAGACUAGAAGAACCAGCUUUUACUUUCUCAAAUUGAAAAAAUUAUAUUGAUUUUUGAAGUGGUGUUCAGGUUAUUUUGUGGAUUUCAAGAAGAUGAAUCUUUUGAUGGAUUUAUCAACACUAUAUUCCUGAGUGUUUGAAAAAAUAGUGUUUUCCCAUCUGGGUUUAGAUUUCAUAGAAGAAGAGCUUGUUCUAUACUACUACAAAAAGAAGAUCUGUAGAGGCAGGAUUUAUCUUGAUGCUAUCGCCGAGACUGACGUGUACAAGUGGGAGAUAGAGGAUUUGACUCGUAUGAAUUCUUAGAUUUUGUUAUGAAUUCUUAGAUUUUGUUAGAGUUUUUGAAAAAUGAGAUUUUGAUGAGUUUUUUGUGUUGUUGACUUGAUUUGAUCAUUUGGGGGCUGGGUUCUUUACUUCUGAUGUUGUGAUUUAUCUUGUAGCUGUAUUGGUAUUUUUUUUUUUACCUCAAGGUGACUUGGUAAGGUAAAGAUAAUUUGUAAGUUAACUUACCUAUCUUUUUUUCAAAAUUUGGUAGCAUCAUAAUACGUGGCUGCCAUUUUGGAGAAAUGAGCAGCAGAUAGAGUUUGUUGUCAAUAGUGCUAUAUUUUAAGAUAGACCCGAUCACCCUCUUGAAAUGUCCUAUCAGUUAUGUGGAUGUUGUCAUACGCCUCCUUCGAUGUUCUGAUCUCAUUGAAUGGAACUUAAUAAAAUAGAGCAUCACCUGCCUUAUUUGAAAUCUCUUAUAGAGUUGCUCCUCUACUACAUCACCUAAAAUAUAGAGCAAGUGUAUGCGAUGGGAUUGAUCAUGGAAGGCCUCAAAGCAUGUGGUCUAUAUAAAUGAAUAAUGGAGUGGUGCUAUACCAUCCAUCCAGCUAGGGGGAAAUAAAGAAAUCCGUCAGUAGGUGAGUUUGAGCAGGAACAUCUAAGUAAUGACUAUAUCUCUAUUGAUCACCUCUUUUUGACCCUUCUACUAGGGGUGGUAUGCAGUUGAUGGUGCAAGAUUUGAAAAUGAGAAGAGAUGUACCAGUUGUGUGUUUUGUGUAAUUACAUUGCUGCUUUAAGAUCUGAAAUGCUGCAUUUGUUAGCUCCACGGACUGCUCCAAUACUAUUUUGAAGUUUUCAGUAUUCUGAUAGUUGAUUUGUUGUGUGCUAAGUGUUAUUUAUGUUUGAAGGAGUGUCUAAUGGAAUUUGUGGUUAUAGUUAGUGGUAGGCUGCACUCUGUAGCAGUGAUAUUUCUGCGCAUAGUGGGAGUUUUAGUGCACAGGGUUGUCCUUUCAUCAAUUAAAAGCAGAAAGAGAAAUAAACCGAAACUUACCAAACAGUCCCACCAGAAAAAUAAACAGGAAAAUAGUGAGAAUUGUUCAGAUGAAGAGUUCUAGCAGGGAGACGUACUAUGAGUAUUCUUAGUGCGUCUAGAGGGAUGAAGUGGUCAUAGCUGUGAAUUUCCUUUUCCUAGGUUGGUUUUGCAUUCUCUUAAGUCUGUCACAUUAGUUGCAUGAAUCCUGGUUUUUUCAUUAUCACGAGUUCUCGCGGCGGAAAUUAGGAUGUUGCGUUGGAUGUGUGGUCUUACAAGGGCUGACAGAGUUAGGAAUGAGAUUAUUCGGGAGAAGGUGGGAGUGGUAUCGGUGGAGGAAAAAAUGCGGGAAGUGAGGUUGAGAUGGUUUGGUCAUGUGACGAGGAGGGGCACGGAUGCCCCAGUUCGUAGGUGUGAGAGACUAGCGUUAGAUGGUUUCAAGCGGGGUAGGGGUAGACCGAAGAAAUACCGGAGAGAAGUGAUUAGACGUGACAUGGAGUAGUUACAUCUCACUGAGGACAUGACCCUGGAUAGGAAGGUUUGGAGGAAAAAUACUAGGAUAGAGGGAUAAGGUGGGGGAUGAAUCGUAUUCCGUAGUUAGGAGGGUUUUGGUGUCUUUUGUUUGGUAAUGUAUAUUAUUUUUGUGGAUGUUGUAUCUAUGUUAGUUUUAUCAUGUUUCAUGCUUUGAAUAUUUUUGUAUAUUGUCCUGUGUCUUGAGCUGGGGGUCUAUCGGAAACAGCCUCUCUACUUCUUUAGAGGUAGUGGUAUGGACUGCGUAUAUUCUACCCUCCCCAAACCCCACUAGAUGGGAAUAUACUGGGUUUUUUGUUGUUAUUGUUGUUGAGUUCUCGUGGCGAUUGCAUGAUUCUAUACAUUUCUCCUGAUAGUUAGCAGGAUGGUGCAAGUAGAUAGAGUUUGUUAAAAUAGUUGUGCUUUUUAAACAUAGGGUUGGCAAUUAGAUAGAUGUCUCUAGAAUGUGGCAGAGAAGAAAAAAGGGUAGUACCAAUGAUAUAGGUGCAAUGAAGAGAGUUUCUGUAUCAUGUGAAUAGUUGAUUCAGGAGUCAUCAAGAGUCAUGGUGUUUCUUUUGGUCUUAUACCUCUAACAAAGAAAGAUAUUAUUGGAGGUUUAGAUUUAUCCUCUUGAUAAAAAAUUAACAAAAAGGAUGGAGGCUGAGAUUUAUCCUUAGUUUCAGCUUACUCGAGGACAUGACCUUUAAUAGGAGGUUGUGCAGGCAAAAAAUAACAAAAAGGAUGGAGGUUGAGAUUUAUGCCUUAUUUCAGCUUUCUCGAGGACAUGACCUUUGAUAGGAGGUUGUGGAGGAAAUUGAUUAGAGUGAGGUUAGUAGGUAGUAGAGUGGUGUCUCACUUAUCUUUCUAUGUAGUUGUAAUAUUACUAAUGGAGUUUCUGGUUGUGUUUUAUUGCACUUUGAUUAUCGUGUUGUUACUAUUAUUUUUUUUAGCCAAGGGUCUGCAUGCAGUCUAUCCUCCCUAGAUUUCACUUAUGGUAUUAUUAGUUAUUUGGUAGGAUUAACGACUUCGAACUUUCAUCUGACAUUGAGGACCGCUAUCAGCAAGGAUAGCUUUUGUUUUACAAGGCUAGGGCACCCUUAAUAUGAUACCAAAGGGUUCCCUUAAUCAGAUAAGAGAAUUAAAGGAACUAUUUCUCCACUGCUUCAGAUCAUUUUCCACUCCAAGCGAUUGGGGUACCACCUCUUUCACCUACAAUGACGGGGAAAUGUUGCCUAAUUGUUGAGUUAGAUGAUGAUAAACUUUCUACGAGUGAAGUCCUCCAUUAAGUGUAAUUGAAUAAAGCAACAGUCGUGAUAGAGUGCAAAGAAGAGGGCUAUUUAGCUAUGAUUCUUCGUGGAGAUGGAGCAAACAGUAUAAAAGUUGGAGAGUUAAUUUCCAUUACAGUUGAAGGAAGAUUGUAUUGCAAAAUUUAGUGAUUUACCUACGUUCAAGUUAGAUGCUAUGUCUUCAAAUUUGAUUGGCCUUCUAUCACGAAAGGGAGAAAAAGAUGGAUGGAGGAAAGGAGAGGAAGAAGAAGGGUAUGAAUUUUGUUCUCUCUUCGGUGUUGGUAGUUCUAGUUUUAAUGGUGGAAAGAUAAGAGGAGGGAUCGUCUUUAUGGAAUACGGAAAGAUAACAUGAAGUGACGUGGGUUGAAAAUAAUGAGGUCUCAGGUUCACAUCCUAGGAGAGACAAACACACUACGCAAUUUCUUCCAUCUGUCCAAGCUUCAGAUAGAGUUACCUAUCACCUAUGAUGGUGGGAGGUAGAAACUACCUUGUGAAAUUAUUUGAGGUACGUGCAAGCUGGUCUGGCUAACACAGUUAUUAGGAAAAGAUGAACGGGGAGUGUAGUUGGAAAAAAUCGGACUUUUUCCCUCUUUUUGUAUAAAAAAUUCUUCUUUUUUUUUUGGUGGGAUUUUUUGGGUUUAAGAGGCAUGUGUCUUUCUUCCGUUGGCUUCUUUGCCAUCUCUUUGCGUGUAAAGUGCACAAAUUCAGUUACCCUUCACUCACCAAAAAAAAAAGAAAAAGUGCACACAUUCUAUUUUCUUGAUUGUUUCAGUAACGUGCUGCACAAUUUGAGCACAAGUAGUUCAUAGAUGGCUUGACGAAAAAUCCGGAGAAGUUUAAGUGUUGUCAAUGUAUUCAACCUUUACAUUAAGCAUUUUAACAUCUUCCUCCUCGGAUUCUUCUCUGUAAUGACGGCACCCCAAGCGGAUCUCCAUGUGAAAACACACUUUUCCUUUGGUGUUUUCUCAAUACAUCAUUUUCAAUUGUCAUCUGUGCUACUUUGUUUAUGUUUGAAUGACUCUUGGUUUUCUCAUUGGAUCUACCUAACGAAACUCUCUAUGCAAAGAAAGAAAUCUUUGGAGAUAAUUUGUUUUAAGGAAAAGGAACUUUGUAAUGCCUCAAAUAUGUUCAAAGCAUGUGGUGGCAUGUUUCGUGCAUCUACUACUCAAAAUUCUAUUAGUACUUUUUUCUCUUAUCUCAUAAUUCUUUUAUCUGCUGGUGAUAGCACCUCUUUACCUAAACUUGAGUAUGAUGUCUUGAAUGCUUGGUGGAAUAUCAACCCUCGGGGUUCAGCUCAAGAAAAAUGGAUUAAUGUUAUUGACGUGAGGUUGAUCGUAGUGGCGAACCAUUUGAAAUCCGAGGUUCGGAAGUUACCUGAAGAACUGCAUUUCUACAAGUGUCAAUAUGAGACCCAAGUGGUGAGUCAAAUACUACUCAGUUCAUCAAAGAUGGUGACACUAUUGUUUCCUCUGAUGGAACGUUUGAGUUGGGAUUUUUCAGUCCGGGAGAUGCUUCAAAUUGAUAUGUUGGAAUAUGGUACAAGAAAACUUCUGUUACUACACCUGUUUGGGUUGCUAAUAGGCUGGUUCCACUUACUGAUAAAUCGGGAGUCUUGAAAGUUAUCCAGCCAGGCAUCGUUUGUGUAUGGGUUAUGUUAAUCUGGACAUACGCAAUGGAGGAAGCGGGUGCUUGCUAUGGAUCGGGGAGCUGGUUGACAUCAGACAACUAUCUUCAUCAGGACACGAUAUCUACGUUAGGAUGUCCACUUCAGAUAUCGGUAUUGGUAUUUUCCGGAGAGACCGGUUGUGGAAAGACUACACAACUCCCUCAAUCUAUUCUACAAGAGGAGAUAUCAUUCCUUCAUGGUGCAGACUGUAACAUCAUAUGCACUCAGCCUCGCCGUAUAUCAGCAAUAUCAGUUGCCGCUCGAAUAUGCUCUGAAAAAGGGGAGGAUCUCGGUGAUACUGUUGGAUACCAGAUCCCAGUGCAAUCAAAGCGAUAUCAUACGUAAAUGUGAGCAUUCGGCAGUAUAUUAUUUUCAGGAUUGUAUAAAACAUACAUUUGAACUCAUUUUCAUCAACUGAUCCAAUCAAACAGAAUAGUCCCUUGCUGUUACGUGUUUA